rnacentral:rRNA from 1 species
ACCAGACUCCUACGGGAGGCAGCAGUGGGGGAUAUUGCACAAUGGGGGAAACCCUGAUGCAGCGACGCCGCGUGGGCGAAGAAGUAUUUCGGUAUGUAAAGCCCUAUCAGCAGGGAAGAAGAAAUGACGGUACCUGAGUAAGAAGCACCGGCUAAAUACGUGCCAGCAGCCGCGGUAAUACGUAUGGUGCAAGCGUUAUCCGGAUUUACUGGGCGUAAAGGGAGCGUAGACGGCGAAGAAAGUCUGAAGUGAAAGCCCGCGGCUCAACCGCGGAAUGGCUUUGGAAACUUUUUUGCUGGAGUACCGGAGAGGUAAGCGGAAUUCCUAGUGUAGCGGUGAAAUGCGUAGAUAUUAGGAGGAACACCAGUGGCGAAGGCGGCUUACUGGACGGUAACUGACGUUGAGGCUCGAAAGCGUGGGGAGCAAACAGGAUUAGAUACCCGCGUAU